UACGUAGGGGGCAAGCGUUGUCCGGAUUUAUUGGGCGUAAAGCGCGUGUAGGCGGCCACGCAGGUCCGUUGUGAAAACUCGAGGCUUAACCUCGAGACGUCGAUGGAAACCGCAUGGCUAGAGUCCGGAAGAGGAGAGUGGAAUUCCUGGUGUAGCGGUGAAAUGCGCAGAUAUCAGGAAGAACACCCGUGGCGAUGGCGGCUCUCUGGGACGGUACUGACGCUGAGACGCGAAAGCGUGGGGAGCGAACAGG
rnacentral:rRNA from 1 species